GGCAGCAGAUUCCCUGGUUGAUCUCGAAAGAAGAUUUCCCGUUUAACCUUAGCAACAUGUAUUUUUCUCAUUGAAUCUCGACAGAAGAUUCCCUGGCUAACCUCGACAGUAGAUUCCCCAGUAGACCUCGAUAGUAGGUAUAUCUCUCUCAUUGAAUCUCGACAGUAGAUUCCCUGGUUGAUCUCGGCAGAAGAUUUCCC
rnacentral:lncRNA from 1 species